AUGCAUGAAGAUUUUUCAAAAUAAUUUCAAAAAUGUAUAAUGGAAGAUCAGAUUAAAACUGUUUUAAUCUAUGCAUGCAUAGAUCUAAUCUUAUACCUAUGAAUCUAGUUCAUGUGAUGAAAAUAAAAUGUUAGCAUACAUCUAAUUUCAAACUAAAAUAUAUCUGGAUGAUCAUAUUAUCAAUCUGAAUCACUAAACUCCUUCGGCUAGAUCUGGAUUUGAGGAUGUCUGUAGGUUUCAUGAAGCUACAUACACGUCCAACCUCUACGGAUAUUCACAUGGGACUGAAGCAGAUUGGAAGCAUCAGAGAUUACCGAGGUUCUAGCUCUCUUUCAGAUCUCCACUUCUCUAGUUUAGAUCUGAUCUCUUUCUUUGACUGUCGUAGAAGAGGAUUCGAAGAUGGAUCUACGCGCGAACUCCUUUCAUGCA
rnacentral:lncRNA from 1 species